CUGAAAUUAUAAAAUACUUUCUCAUUCUCUCUUUUAGUAUUUUUAGAGUAACUUUAAAUCUUCAAUUUAUCUGGAAUUUAUUUUUAGUAUACAGUAUGAGGUAUGCCUUAACGUAAUUUUUUUUCCAGAUGGAUAUCCUGAUUUCUUUGCAACAGUUAUUGAAUAAGCCAUCUUUCUCUGAUGAUUUGAGAGGAGACCUCUCUCCAUAUUAAAUUCUCAUGUAUAUUUGAUUGUAUUUUUUUAUUUGAUUGUAUCUUUAAUAGAUUUUCUUCUGGUCACUGAUUUCUGUUUUAGUUAUUAUAACUUUAAAAUGUUUUAAUAUCUGGUAAUACUUUAAAUUUAUUUUUAGAAUAUGUAUUGCUAUUCUUAUUUGUUUUAUUUGUAGGAAUUUGAAAUCAGUUUACCUAUUUCCAAAAGAAAAUUCUGUUAGUAUUUUUAUUAGGUGAGCUUUAUUUAUUUACUUAUUUUUUUUUAUAAUAUUAGUGGGUUUUGUUCUCCAUUUUUUUUUUUUAAGAUUUUUGUUUGUUUCUUUGACAGAGAGAUAGAGAAUGCAAGUGGGCAGAAUAGCAGGCAGAGGAAGAAGGAGAAGCAGACUCCCCGCUGAACAGGGAGCCUGACAGGGGGCUUGAUCCCAGGACACGAAGGCAGCUGCUUAACUGACUGAGCCACCCAGGCACCCCUGUUUAUUUAUUUAUUCUUUAAGUAAUCUUUAGGCCCAAUAUGGGGCUCAAACUCAGGACUCUGAGAUCAAGAGUCACAUGUCCUACCCACUGAGCCAGCCAAACACACCAGGAAAACUCACCUGCACUCUCAACCGUCUCCCAGAAGAAACUCCUCUCCCAAAGAAUCCAGGGUCUUGGGAGAAAGGAGGAGGCUGGUGAGCUCCUGCUCAGCGCUUUCUCCUCAGAAGACAUUCGCGUGAGAAGAAUGGACUUUUUCGGGGCGCCUGGGUGGCUCAGUGGGUUAAAGCCUCUGCCUUCGACUUGGGUCAUGAUCCCAGAGUCCUGGGAUCAACCCCACAUCGGGCUCUCUGCUCA
rnacentral:lncRNA from 1 species